rnacentral:rRNA from 1 species
UAGGGAAUCUUCCACAAUGGACGCAAGUCUGAUGGAGCAACGCCGCGUGAGUGAAGAAGGUUUUCGGGACCGUAAAGCUCUGUUGUUGGUGAAGAAGGAUAGAGGUAGUAACUGGCCUUUAUUUGACGGUAAUCAACCAGAAAGUCACGGCUAACUACGUGCCAGCAGCCGCGGUAAUACGUAGGUGGCAAGCGUUGUCCGGAUUUAUUGGGCGUAAAGCGAGCGCAGGCGGAAGAAUAAGUCUGAUGUGAAAGCCCUCGGCUUAACCGAGGAAUUGCAUCGGAAACUGUUUUCUUGAGUGCAGAAGAGGAGAGUAGAACUCCAUGUGUAGCGGUGGAAUGCGUAGAUAUAUGGAAGAAUACCAGUGGCGAAGGCGGCUCUCUGGUCUGCAACUGACGCUGAGGCUCGAAAGCAUGGGUAGCGAACAGGAUUAGAUACCCUG